GUGAUUCUCCUACCUGGGCCUCCUGAGUGCUGGGAUUAAAGGUGGAAGCCAUCAUACCUGAGCAACCUGAGGUGGCCCACUCUCCGUGCCAGCUGGUGGCCAAGUUCAGUGAGGAGACUCUGUGCCAUCUCAGUCUGGAGGACACGUUAGGCCAGAGUCACCUUGUUGCGGCCCACACUCCCUGCCUGUGGGUGGACGAGUUCACUGAGGAGACUCUGUAUCACCUCAGUCUGGAGGGCACCUCAGGCCAGACUUCCUGUCUUGUCCCUCUGUGGACGAAUGUGUGGGUGCCCCGCCUGCGCAGCAAACUGAGUGGCCUGUCCUGCAGACCCACGCGUGAUGACCCACGGGAAUGUGGAAUAGCUGUCCUUUUCAGCCUCACUCUCGUGAGGCCUCCUCAGUUGCUCCUUACUCCUGAAGGUCUCGUGUGUUUGCUACUGGGAGUAUUAACCUGCGCAGCAGCCUGAGUGACAGGAGCCCGCGAGUCAUUGUCUUCCGUGUGGCGUUUCCUCUCUUCGCCCCCGCGGGCUGCUGUCCAUCAGCUGUGAACCCAGCAGUCCUCCAGCUGCCAAGAUCAUGCCGUCACUUUGCAGUCGUACAUGAGUGUGUGAAUCCCCAUCCCCUCCAAAACCUUGCACGGAGUUUUGUGUUGAUUUAUAUCAUUUUUAAC